rnacentral:rRNA from 1 species
UACGUAGGGGGCUAGCGUUGUCCGGAAUCAUUGGGCGUAAAGCGCGUGUAGGCGGUCCGGUAAGUCCGCGGUGAAAGUCGGGGGCUCAACCCUCGAAUGCCGGUGGAUACUGUCGGGCUAGAGUGCGGAAGAGGCGAGUGGAAUUCCUGGUGUAGCGGUGAAAUGCGCAGAUAUCAGGAGGAACACCAAUUGCGAAGGCAGCUCGCUGGGACGUAACUGACGCUGAGACGCGAAAGCGUGGGGAGCAAACAGG